rnacentral:rRNA from 1 species
CCUACGGGAGGCAGCAGUCGGGAAUAUUGCGCAAUGGCGGAAACUCUGACGCAGUGACGCCGCGUGCAGGAAGAAGGUUUUCGGAUUGUAAACUGCUUUAGACAGGGGAGAAAAAAGACAGUACCUGUAGGAUACGCUCCGGCUAACUACGUGCCAGCAGCCGCGGUCAUACGGAGGGAGCAAGCGUUAUCCGGAUUUAUUGGGUGUAACGGGUGCGUAGACGGGGAAGCAAGUUAGGUGUGAAAACCCUGGGCGUAACUGAGGAACCGCAACUAAAACUACUUCCCUUGAGUACUGGAGAGGAACGGGGAAUUCCUAGUGUAGCGGUGAAAUGCGUAGAUAUUAGGCGGAACACCAGUGGCGAAGGCGACUUUCUGGACAGUAACUGACGUUGAGGCACGAAAGCGUGGGGAGCAAACAGGAUUAGAUACCCUAGUAGUC